UACGAAGGGGGCUAGCGUUGUUCGGAAUCACUGGGCGUAAAGGGCGCGUAGGCGGCUUUGUAAGUCGGGGGUGAAAGCCUGUGGCUCAACCACAGAAUUGCCUUCGAUACUGCAUGGCUUGAGACCGGAAGAGGUUAGUGGAACUGCGAGUGUAGAGGUGAAAUUCGUAGAUAUUCGCAAGAACACCAGUGGCGAAGGCGGCUGACUGGUCCGGAGUCUGACGCUGAGGCGCGAAAAGCGUGGGGAGCAAACAGG
rnacentral:rRNA from 1 species